AAGCCAGUCAGUUGGUCUGCUUAUCUGAAUGUGUUUCUGCAGAAAUAUAGAGAAAGCUGUCAAUAGUGAUGCCAUGUUAUGAGCCUUUAGGACAGCUGAGGUCGUUAAAGUCCCUGAAAAUGGCUACAAUA
rnacentral:snoRNA from 1 species